rnacentral:rRNA from 1 species
GAUGAACGCUGGCGGCGUGCCUAAUACAUGCAAGUCGAGCGAACAGACGAGGAGCUUGCUCCUCUGACGUUAGCGGCGGACGGGUGAGUAACACGUGGAUAACCUACCUAUAAGACUGGGAUAACUUCGGGAAACCGGAGCUAAUACCGGAUAAUAUAUUGAACCGCAUGGUUCAAUAGUGAAAGACGGUUUUGCUGUCACUUAUAGAUGGAUCCGCGCCGCAUUAGCUAGUUGGUAAGGUAACGGCUUACCAAGGCAACGAUGCGUAGCCGACCUGAGAGGGUGAUCGGCCACACUGGAACGGAGACACGGUCCAGACUCCUACGGGAGGCAGCAGUAGGGAAUCUUCCGCAAUGGGCGAAAGCCUGACGGAGCAACGCCGCGGGAGGGAGGAAGGUCUUCGGAUCGUAAAACUCUGUUAUUAGGGAAGAACAAAUGUGUAAGUAACUAGGCACGUCUUGACGGUACCUAAUCAGAAAGCCACGGCUAACUACGUG